GUAGGGAAUAUUGCACAAUGGAGGAAACUCUGAUGCAGCGACGCCGCGUGAGUGAUGAAGGCCCUAGGGUUGUAAAGCUCUUUCACCGGUGAAGAUAAUGACGGUAACCGGAGAAGAAGCCCCGGCUAACUUCGUGCCAGCAGCCGCGGUAAUACGAAGGGGGCUAGCGUUGUUCGGAAUUACUGGGCGUAAAGCGCACGUAGGCGGACAUUUAAGUCAGGGGUGAAAUCCCGGGGCUCAACCCCGGAACUGCCUUUGAUACUGGGUGUCUGGAGUAUGGAAGAGGUAAGUGGAAUUCCGAGUGUAGAGGUGAAAUUCGUAGAUAUUCGGAGGAACACCAGUGGCGAAGGCGGCUGACUGGACAAGUAUUGACGCUGAGGUGCGAAAGCGUGGGGAGCAAACAGGAUUAGAUACCCUUGUAGUCC
rnacentral:rRNA from 1 species